rnacentral:lncRNA from 1 species
CUGUUUUUCAGCUUCUUAGGAAGCCACAAAAUUAAAGCACUGACGCAUAAUUGUUUUGAAAAAAAGAUAUCCCUGACAGAAGGCUUUUGAACUCCACAAUCUCCAAGGAAGCCUAUUAAUGAGCUAUUCUGGGGAACCACCAGACAAAUUAAAAAAAAGCUCAAUGCUUUGGGGAAAAGCUUUGAAUGAACUCCAGGUCCCUCCUGCUCCCUCCAGUGGCUUCCAGGCAGCCCCAGGGAUGCUGGUCACCUAAGGAUGGAGAAGGCAGAGGUCGAGAGGCACAGAACCUGAGCAGGGCCAGCAGCAGACACCUGAGAGGAACAUCUGCCAGUCCCACAGCGUUGCGGGAACAAAUGUUGACCUUCACAGCCAAAGAUUUUAAAAUAAUUGUGGCUAAUAUGUUUAAGAAAUUAAAUGAUGGUUGGCAAGGUGACACAUGCCUAUAAUCCCAGCAUUUGGGAGGCUGAGGCAGAAGGAUUGCCAUGAGUUUGAUGCCAGCCUGGGUUACAUAGUGAGUUCAAAGUCAGCUUGAACUGCAUAGUGAGACCCUAUCCCCCUUCCUCCAAUCAAAUGAAAGAUGUAAAUAGGAACUGAAAUUUUCAUUUUAGUCAUUGGAAUUUUUAUUUCAUCCAAUGAAAAGAAUGGAGAGUGGAAAGUCUAGUAACUGAAGGUUAAAAAUUCAACAGAUGAAUCUGACAAUAGAUUAGAUACAGCAGAAAUGAGCAAAUUAGUGGUUUGAAA